rnacentral:lncRNA from 10 species
GUUCUUUUUUGUUGUUGUUAUUCUUUGCGUCAUUUCCAGAGAGACAGGAAGGAAAACAUAGUAAACAUUCUUCAAUUCUGCACAAAAGCCGAGAAGGGAUUUUCUUCAGGAACCUCCUUGUGGCUCUGCCAUGGCGGGGAGGGUUGGGGGUAAGAAAUAUAAGACCCAAUUCCCUGUGGAGGCGGGGAUUCGGUGAAACCAAUCCCUUGAAUGUGGGGUGGAACCAACAUGUAACUCAAUUUGCUUUGGCUCUCACUGUGCAUUUGAGCUAAAGCAAGGGAAGCAUUUCCCCUUCCCCUGGCUGAAAGCUCAGCUGACCCCGAGGCUCUUCUGGUCAUGCUUAGGUACAGCUAUGACUCCAUCUUCAACCCCUAGAAAUCCAGCAUCCUCUUCCAACUUCUUUCUGCUGACAUCCCUUUGCCCUUCUCAGAGGCCCUACAGGACUUAAAAUGACCCCCACCUUGGCCCUCUCUCCUGCCAUGGUCCAUCUGAUCCACAUGUGGCCCAUGGGAAGAACUCACACAGCCCCUUCACUCAUCCUAAUGCAGUCCCUCCUGGCACAGUCCCAUGGGGGCCCACAGCUCCAAGUGGCUGCAUGGAAGCCCCCAUCACUAGGCUUGAGUUGAAAGCAGUAGGGCCCCUAACUCCUUGGUGGGGUAGCUUACAGCAUGGCUUUGCCCUUUCUGGAAGUUUCUAUUUCCAAACUCUCCCCAUUCUCCACACUCUAUAUUGUUGGUAGGCUGAGGGCCCUGAGUGCUAUGCAACUGGUUCCCCAUUAUUUCCUUUGUAAAUACUACAUAUGGGAGUCUGUCUCAUGUUCAGUUUGCUAUCUGAUGAUAUUGUGGUAGCCUGCUUCCACAAUGGCCCCUCAUUGUCCCCAUCUCCUGGUAUUCACAUCAUUGUGUCUCCUCCCUCCGUGAACAGGGCCGACCCUUGUAGCCACUUGCUAUUGCAGAGCUGAUGGCAUGCAUCUUCUGAGGCUAGGUCAUUGUUGUGUGUUUAAUGAUGUCCCCCAGAAGAUAUGUUGCAGCCCUAACCCCCAGGGCCUAUAAAUGUGACCUUUUCUGGAAAUAGUCUUCGCAGUUGUAAUCAAGGGUUGUUCUUGACUAGAGUGGGCCCUACAUCCAAUGACUGGUGUUCUCAUAAGGAGAGAGAGACAAAGAGUAGACAGACACAAGGGAGAAGGCCGUGUGAAGAUGGAGACAGAGAUUGGAAUGAUACAGCCACAAGCCAAGAAACAUCUGCGGCCGUCAGAAGUUGGAAGAGGCAAGGAAUGAUUUAUUCUUUCCCACUCAUUGUUUCACCAAUGAGCACCUUCCAUGUGCCACCGUUCUGACCCUGCUGACAAUGUGGUUUCAGACUUCUGGCCCCCAGAACUGUGAAAGAGUAAAUUUCUGUUAAGUUAUCUUGCUUGUGGUACUUUGUUACAGCAGCCCUGUGGAUCUAAUAUAGUCAUAAGAGACAUUGUGACCUCCUCCCUGCUCUCUUGAACCACUCAUUCUGGGAGAAGUCAGCUGCCAUGUCAUGAAGCUACUCAGGGAGGUCCAUGGAGAGGUCCACAUGGCAAGGAACUGAGGCCUCCUGCCAGUAGCCAGCACCAUCUUGCUGGCCAUGUGAGCGUGCCAUCUUAGAUGCAGAUCAUACGGCCCCAGUCAAGCCUUCAAAUGACUGCAUCCCUACUUGACAUUUUGACUGUAACCUCAUGACAAACCCUAAGCCAGAACACCAGCUAAGCCACUCCCCAAUUCCUCAUCAAGAGAAACUGAGAUAAUAAAUGUUUAUUAUUGUUUUAAGCUACUAAAUUUUGAGGUAAUCUGUUAUGUAGCAAUAGAUAACUAAUACUGAUAUCUGUCAUAUUGGGGCCUCAGUGUAACUUGGAACAGAAAGAGUUCCAUAUUAUAAUUCUUAAACAUUACUUGGAAUGGUUAGGGGCCCCAGUGCUAUUCUCUCUGGGGAUAUUUCCAGCAAUGGGCCCCACAGCCAUUUAUAGUGAGUUGUCCCACUUACUCUUUCACCAGUGAGCACUUUCCAUGUGUCAGAUGCCAUAUUAGAGACUGGGGCUAUAGAAAUGAACAGUCUUUUGGGAGGCCGAGGCAGGUGGAUCACCUGAGGUCAAGAAUUUGAGACCAGUCUGACCAACAUGGAGAAACCCCGUCUCUACUAAAAAAAAAAAAAAUACAAAAUUAGCUGGGUGUGGUGGUGCAUGCCUGUAAUCCCAGCUACUUGGGAGGCUGAGGCAGGAGAAUCACUUGAACCUGAGAGGCGGAGGUUGUGGUAAGCCAAGAUUACACCAUUGCACUCCAGCCUGGGCAACAAGAGUGAAAUUCCAUCUCAAAAAAAGAAAAAAAAGAAAUGAACAGCCCUGUUCUUAAUCACUUAACCAGUGGUCAUUAUGGUCUCUGCUAGUAGAGCACUAUGGGCAAGAAGGACAGCACUGCUUUGCAGGGAAGGGAAAAGAGAGACAUCACUGAGGCACUGAAGAGGAGAAGCAUUCAGUGGUAUGACCUUGAAGAGACAAGAAGAGGACCAAGUUCAAGAGUCUGCAAGAACAGUGGGAGGUAGAGCUGGAACUAGAAUCCAGACACCCCACUUCUAGUCUUGAAUUUGCGCUUCCUGAACUACACAGAGGCUGGCUCAUGGUACCAGGGUCUCUAAAGAUACCUGGAGGCAUGAACUUGAAUCCUGCUGGGAUACUACUCUUUGAAUAAUAAUUUCUCUAUGGAAAGGCAGGGUACAAAGUCUUGGAAUCUUGUUUCUGCUCUGCCAUCUUAGCUAAAUAACUCCCUUUGGAGAUCCUUUGAACCCUGAUAGAUCAGCAAGCCCCCUCUGAAACAUCAUAAGCCUCAGGGCAAGAAGGCUGGCCUUCUCCUCCAUCUGAAUCCCAGCCCUUCUUUUUUUGAGAUGGAGUUUUGCUCUUGUUGCCCAGGCUGGAGUGCAAUGGCGCGAUCUCGGCUCACCACAACCUCUGCCUCCUGGGUUCUAGCGAUUCUCCUGCCUCAGCCUCCUGAGUAGCUGGGAUUACAGGCAUGCAAAACCAUGCCCUGCUAAUUUUGUAUUUUAAGUAGAGACAGGGUUUCUCCAUGUUGGAAAGGCUGGUCUUGAACUCUCGACUUCAGGUGAUCCGCCCGCCUCUAGCCCUUCUUAGUAGUGGUGUUUUCUAAACAGGUUAGAUAAGAAUUUGACACCUGCUGAAAUCUCCAGGCUGGCUCCUCCCAAGGUCAAAUUGCACAUCUUGCCAACGAGAACAGCCUUCACUUCUUGAGCAUCUACUCAGCAGCAAGUGAUUUCUCUAAUCUUCACAACACCCUCUCAAGGCAAGGGAUCAUGGGCCACACUUGGCAAUCUAGGAAAGUGAAGUUCAAGAACAAGCCCCAGGACACACAGCUAGUGACAGCGAGGCACAGAGCUGGGAUUCCAACCCAGGCCUGUCUAACCCUAAAGCUCCUCCUAUCCACCUCCUCCUUGCUGCCACAGAAGGUGACUCAGAGGUACUCAGUCUGGAGAAUUCAAGCCAGUAUCCCAGGAAGUGGAAUUUUCUCCAGUGUUCUAGGAAGGAGGGAUUACCAUGGCAUGGGGUGGGCCAGGUAGACACAAGAGGCAGUGAAGGUGCAUAAAGUGGUGAUUAAAGGGAAUGGAGUCUACUGUGGUUUGGAUAUGGUUGCGUCAACCUAAACUCAUGUUGAAAUUUGACCCUCGGUGUGGUGGUGGUGGGAGGUGGGGCCUAGUGGGAGGUGUCUGGGUCAUGGGGGCAGAUCUCUCAUGAAGGGCUUAGUGCCAUCCUCACAGUGGAGAGUGAGUUUUCACCCUGGCAAGACUGGAUUCUUGUAGGAAUGGAUUUGUUCCCAAGACAGUGGGUUGUUAUAAAGCCAGGAUGCCCCUUGGGUUUUCCCUUCUUUGCAAGUGUUCACUCUCCCUUUGACCUUCUGUAUGUCGCAGCCCUCACCAGAGGCUGAGCAGAUGCUGAGGCCAUGCUUCUUGAUUCUCCCAGCCAACAGAUCUGAUGUCACUAUCAAUCACGCUUCGACUGAGUACAGCCAAACCAGGAUACUCAGGGACUUGGAAUCUGUUACCAGACUUUUAUUUAGUACAGACACAGCGCCAGGGGGCUGAGCAUUCUUCAGCAACACCCUUUGGACCCCUUUCUACACCAUCAUGCUGUAUGAACAGAAGGGUUGGGGACAUGAAGGAGCAGCUCAGCUAAGGUGACCCAGAUGGUUGGGCUCAGAGCUGGAAGAACACCGUGGUCUUCUGACUCCCAAUUCCUGCAUCUGUCCUGCUUGUAAGAGGCUUGCCAAGAACAGGAGCUUUUGUUUGUAGGUCUCUAGGGAUGGCCACCACAGGGAGUGUGAUUUGAAGAUGGGGUCGGCGUGACAUUACAGGCCCCCUUUAGGCUCUGCUGGGUUGCAGGCCAGCUCUCUGGGCUGCCUUUCUGAUGGCUGCUAUUUUAAAGGCAGAUAGGAUGAAGUUAGCAACAACUUAUAUCAUUAAACUAGCAAGGGCUCAGGAGGGGCAGCCCCCUUCUGGGAAUGUGCCUAGCUCCUGCUCCAGAAUGGAGGAGUUUCUGUGGCUCUAGGAGAGCUGGCCUUCUAUGGAGUCUGAGCAAUGUACCGCACGGGGAGGAGAAGACGCUUCCAGAAGAUACCAGUGUUUCUAUCCAGAGACGUUUCCAGGACACCACGUUAAGCAGCAGAGACACUAGAAGCCAAGGCACCUAUGGUCUGGUGUGGAUGUGUGCCUCCUGUGCCUCAGUGGCAUCAUCCGUACCAUGGGAGGUGUGUAAUGAGGGGUGAGAUCACGUCUGUGAGGGCACGUACAUAGUAGAUGCCCAGGAAGUGCCAGUCCCCAUCUCCUUCCCAGUUUCUUCAAAGCCUUCUGGAAGGCACUGGCAUAGCCCAGUCCUGAGGCACUGCUUUUUCUUUCAUGGAUGAUCAGGAGCUUCUGUGAUUUCUUCCCCCUCACUCUUCAUUUUGCCAAGAUGUUGCCCAUAGUAACCUCAGCAGUGGAGCGAGGAUUCUGCACUGUUCCACUGCCCUGGGGCUGCACACCCACGUGAGCGGGGCCGACCCGUCCCAGAGCGCUUUGCCCUCAGAAGGCAGCAUCACCUGCAGGAGCAAUGCCAUGGACAGCUCUGGCUUGUCCUCCAGGGCCCUGGCAUGGUCAGUGAGAAAAUGCCCCUGGGGCAUGGGCUUCUCCUGUCAGUCAAGUUCAGAAGGCUUCCUGGGGUAGGUAGAGACGCUCCCUACCCAGCUGAGUUAUUGAAAUGAUAGGAGGGAGAAGGGAAGGUCUGGGCAUGUGGCACUGUGAUUUUUUUUUCUUUCUUCUUUUUUUUUUUUUUUUUUUUUGGAGACUCGGGGUAGAAAUGAGGACAGGAAGAAGUACAAUCCGUCUGGGAUUGGUUUAUUUUUAUUGCUUUUUAAAAUCAUGUGACUAAUUGGUGUUCAUUGAAAAAGAGAAAACAAAAAUAAGCCAAGAGAAGACAGCAAAAAUAAUCUGUUAACAUCUUGGCAAAUAUCCUUUUUCUCUGCAUAGAAACGGAGAAUACUUUUGUUUCACUUAUAAAAUGUUUCUUAAUGUACACAGCUUUAUAACCUGCUUUUUGCUUAAUGGGACAAUAUACUAGGACAUGUUUUCAGGCCAACAGAUAAAUAUACUUCACUUGCAU